AUUGUGUUUAUGGUAUUUAUAUGUGUGAAUAAACCAGUUAUAAUAUUGCUGUACCACCUUAAACUAGUUAUCCUUCACGGCUUCACAACAACUUCGAAGGUUUAAAUUCAUCAGGAAAUAUUUAAACAUAAUACAAUAACAGAAUAUCAUAUAUUCACGUGAAUAUGUAUAUAAUAUAUACUAUAGAAAAUAUAAAACAACAGGAUUAAGUAUUUGUAUAAAUAAAUGCCUACCAACAUUUAUAAUAUGACGUAUAGGUAUACCUACAGUGGAAUAGGUACAGUAUGUAAGUAAUCGCUAAUUAGAAACACUCUGUGCAGAUGCAAUACAUAUAUAUAUAUAUAUAUAUACCAAUGAAUUCUAUUUUUUUAGGUGCCUAACAACAAACAAUAGAAAAAAACACAGUAAAUCAAUAGGUACAAUCUACUUUUGAAAAUACAUUUUAUUUUUUAAUACCUAUCUACCAAUAGAUUAGGUGUAGGUACAUACCUUGUAUACAGUGUGAUCAAUCCUCGAUAAGACAUGCAACACCUCGGAAAGUAUUGGCUAUGAAGCAUUUGCUAUUUGAAAAUCAAUAGUGGGAAUAAUGGUAGAUAAUGUUACAUUUUAGGGCUACUUGUAUUAUAA